rnacentral:rRNA from 1 species
CCUACGGGAGGCAGCAGUGAGGAAUAUUGGUCAAUGGCCGGAAGGCUGAACCAGCAAUGCCGCGUGAAGGUCAGUGCCCUAUGGGCGUUAAACUUCUUUUGUGCGGGAGCAAUAAUGGUCACGUGUGGCCAGACGAGAGUACCGUACGAAUAAGCAUCAGCUAACUCCGUGCCAGCAGCCGCGGUAAUACGGGGGAUGCAAGCGUUAUCCGGAUUUAUUGGGUUUAAAGGGUGCGUAGGCUGUGAGGUAAGUCAGCGGUGAAAUGCCCCCGCUCAACGGGGUGAAGUGCCAUUGAUACUGCCUUGCUGGAAUGCGGAUGCCGUGGGAGGAAUGUGUGGUGUAGCGGUGAAAGGCAUAGAUAUCACACAGAACACCGAUUGCGAAGGCAUCUCACGAAUCCGCGAUUGACGCUGAUGCACGAAAGCGUGGGUAUCAAACAGGAUUAGAUACCCCUGUAGUC